rnacentral:tRNA from 1 species
GGCUGGAUAAUGGCUGGGCCUGCAAAGCCGUGUACGUCGGUUCGAUUCCGAUUCCAGCCUCCA